rnacentral:rRNA from 1 species
GUGGGGAAUUUUGGACAAUGGGCGCAAGCCUGAUCCAGCAAUGCCGCGUGCAGGAAGAAGGCCUUCGGGUUGUAAACUGCUUUUGUACGGAACGAAAAGGCUCUGGUUAAUACCUGGGGCUCAUGACGGUACCGUAAGAAUAAGCACCGGCUAACUACGUGCCAGCAGCCGCGGUAAUACGUAGGGUGCAAGCGUUAAUCGGAAUUACUGGGCGUAACGCGUGCGCAGGCGGUUUUGUAAGACAGGCGUGAAAUCCCCGGGCUCAACCUGGGAAUGGCGCUUGUGACUGCAAGGCUGGAGUGCGGCAGAGGGGGAUGGAAUUCCGCGUGUAGCAGUGAAAUGCGUAGAUAUGCGGAGGAACACCGAUGGCGAAGGCAAUCCCCUGGGCCUGCACUGACGCUCAUGCACGAAAGCGUGGGGAGCAAACAGGAUUAGAAACCCGUGUAGUCC